CCGACACUUCAAGUCUAAGCGCUGUUGUGGUCAAGCAAAAGAGACCUCGAGAUGAUUCUGCGGAACAUGUUUAUGGGAAAGACAUUACUAGAGAUGAUGGUCAAAACAAUGUCUCUGUGGUGCAAAAAAAUGGAGGUAAACCAAAAAAGGAACAUACAUUACUUAAAUGGUAACAUCGGGUAGUCCUCGAUACUAAUCUUUUGCUCCCCUUAUUGAUUGGUGUUAUUCAAAAUGCAGAUGUCAGUGUUGGUUGCAGUGUUAGCGGGGUGAGUGCUUCUCCGAAGCGAGCACAAGGUGAUUUAGGACAUGAGUCUCGAGGCAAAGAGCCAUGUGUUCAUAUUGGCAUCAGUGCUUCUCCAACGCAAAACAAAGCGAUAUUGCACAUGAGUCUGGAGGCAAAGAGCUAAUCAUGUACACAGCAACGCAUAGUAGAAGGGCUAGAUUAGAACCAAACUACUUGAUGAUGGAGAAACAUGCGUACUCAGAUCUACCUCCAGCAGAAAAACCCUUUCCACUACAACAGGAGGAUAGUGUUUCCUACGCGUGCUACAGCUAAAGAUUUAUAUGAUAGACUGUUAUUCUCUGACUCUGCCACAACAAAAAGUUAUGGUAUGUUCAUAUGGAUCCAACCCUACUUAAAAUAAGUGGAUCUGAGCUCAUUGAGGUCUUCCAAGAGUUUGGCAUUUUUACCAGAAAGACCUACGAGUGUAUCAGAAGGAUGCUUGAUGAAAAUGAACACGGAUGGUAUGGAGAACAAGAGAGAAGAAGGUGGCGCAAAAUCUUACCGAAGGAAUGGGUGGUGAGUUU